rnacentral:misc_RNA from 1 species
GAAAUUCGAAGCACCUUCGGUCACGCUUCCUACAAGCAGACCCUAAUGACAGAUCGCUGACGCACGUUCAUAGAUUAGUACACAAGACAUCAGCACACCAAUACACACAGUAACUCCAUAGAACUCAUACAGCGCAAGAAGUUGCUGCUCGCCUCGCUUUUAUCAUCUGUCCAGUAUGUCAUCAACGCGAGAUGGGGCUGGCGGCGGCGGCGGAAGUAGCAGCAGCCGCGGUGUCGGCCUCGCGGUCGGCUCCUUCGCAGAUGAAUGGGCCUUCAACAACUACCACGUGUCCUCCUUCAUGGCGAUGGAGAUGCCGGCGACAAUUGUACCUCGGUUUGUGAUGGACCGUGUCGACUGCCUUGGUGGCAGCUACGGGCCCUUCGCCCCAAACUACCCCGUCGACGUGCCACUCUGGCUCGCCCUCUACUUGCGACAGACCAACACGUGUGCGAUCCAGCCGCCAGACUACCUCCGCGUGGAGUAUUUACGCGACGUCAUUGAGCGAGAGCGGACCAACGAUCAGGGCUUUGAGAGCCUGCCCUUCUACUUCUUCGAGAUUGCUAAGAAGUUGACGGAGAGGGGCGGAGGUAGUAGCGGUGGUGGCGGCGGCUCCGACGACGGGGACACAAUUCCGCACGCGGUGGAAGUCAUCCGUCUUGUCAAUGAAAUACACGCGAUGCGGCAGCAGAAGCUCAAGAAUCUCAUGACAGUCUUUGAGGCGGAAGGGUCACCCAUGUUCAUUCCAGGCGUCUUGCUGACGAACAUCGUUUGCCAUGAGCUGCACUUUCUGCGAGCCAGCUUUGGGAUCGUGCUGCAGCAGGCCGCGUCGAUGGAACGACAGCGGCAGCAGCUGAUACGACUGCCACCCGUCUCCGCCGCCACUCCAGGUCGCUUGCCCUCUACCGUGGGUCGGACGACGCUGACGAGUGGGAUGAGCACUGCGCGCACGACCACGACACUGUCUUCUACAGGCACACCGGACGUCGCCACGACGGCGAUGGACCUCACCUCUAAAAUGGGCUCUGACAGCUUCAUACACGACGGCGUUGCAAACUCGCAAAUAUCAGCGUUGACGGCCGCAACAUCGAUGACAACGGCGAUGGCCGUGAGAUCGGAUGGUGGACCUCAGCCCACUGCGACAGCGGACGUGGCACCGCUGGCGCAGCCCGCAGUGAAAAAGCGUCGCACCCUACGGCAGACGUAGCGGUAGUGCUCAGGCGAAGGAAUGCGCGCACGAAGGGCAGCAUAAGCUAGGGAGGAGUGUUUGUCAGUCUCCGAGUCACUAUUGUGGAGUUCAGAGCAUCAUAUACGUACUUGACGUCUGUGUGGUGCGCGAUGGGUUGUUUUUUGUUGUCUCCUUGUCUCCCACCCCUGCAUGCACAGCCGGAGAGUAAAGAUAUCCGCUAACGUCAGCCACGAGAGCUAGGCGGGACAUCCAGUGCCUCCCUGCAGGCGUGCUUGAGCCCGUCACCUCUUGACCGUUCUCGAUGCGCAGAUUGGUGGAGUGAGACACAAAAAAGCACCGUUUUGGUGUUGCCUAGCAGAAUCGGGAACGUGGAUGUCAGCGCGCAAUCGACGCACACCUUCCGCGGUGCGUUCAGCUUCUCUUUCCUGCCGCUCUUUCGACCUCUUGCCCCCCCCCCUCUUUGUCUGUCUUCUCCUCCUCCCUCGCCCUCCCUCCGCUGGUGCUGCGCCCUUGUGCUUCACUCAG